GUCCACGCCAUAAACGAUGGAUACUUGAUGUUGGAGGUUUUGACCCCUUCAGUGUCGUAGCAAACGCGGUAAGUAUCCCGCCUGGGGAGUACGGUCGCAAGAUUAAAACUCAAAGAAAUUGACGGGGGCCCGCACAAGCGGUGGAGAAUGUGGUUCAAUUCGAUGCAACGCGAAAAACCUUACCUGGGUUUGACAUACUAGGGAAUGCUACAGAGAUGUAGCAGCUCGAAAGGGUCCUAGUACAGGUGCUGCAUGGCUGUCGU
rnacentral:rRNA from 1 species